rnacentral:rRNA from 1 species
CAAUAGCGUAUAUUAAAGUUGUUGCAGUUAAAAAGCUCGUAGUUGGAUUUUUGUCAUUUGCUUACACUCUGGCUUAAUUGACAGUGGGUUUGGCAUUGACAUUUCCCUAUUUUUGCGGCUCGUUCGCUUCUCUAGGGCUUUUACUUUGAGUAAAUUAGAGUGUUUCAAGCAAGCAAUUGCUAUGAAUACUGCAGCAUGGAAUAAUAAUAUAGGACGUUGGUUCUAUGUUGUUGGUUCUGAGAGCCGAUGUAAUGAUUAAUAGGAACAGUUGGGGGCAUUCGUAUUCAACAGCUAGAGGUGAAAUUCUUAGAUUUGUUGAAGACGAACUACAGCGAAAGCAUUUGCCAAGGAUGUUUUCAUUAAU